rnacentral:rRNA from 1 species
AGUGAACGCUGGCGGUAGGCCUAACACAUGCAAGUCGAACGGCAGCACAGUAAGAGCUUGCUCUUACGGGUGGCGAGUGGCGGACGGGUGAGGAAUACAGCGGAAUCUACUUUUUCGUGGGGGAUAACGUAGGGAAACUUACGCUAAUACCGCAUACGACCUACGGGUGAAAGCAGGGGAUCUUCGGACCUUGCGCGAUAGAAUGAGCCGAUGUCGGAUUAGCUAGUUGGCGGGGUAAAGGCCCACCAAGGCGACGAUCCGUAGCUGGUCUGAGAGGAUGAUCAGCCACACUGGAACUGAGACACGGUCCAGACUCCUACGGGAGGCAGCAGUGGGGAAUAUUGGACAAUGGGCGCAAGCCUGAUCCAGCCAUACCGCGUGGGUGAAGAAGGCCUUCGGGUUGUAAAGCCCUUUUGUUGGGAAAGAAAAGCAGCAGGUUAAUACCCCGCUGUUCUGACGGUACCCAAAGAAUAAGCACCGGCUAACUUCGUG